GGCAAGCUCUUUUAGUCGCGGACAAGCCGCCAUGCGAGGAUAACAUCGGAUGUGUAAUAUCGUGAUAGAAGUUCGUUCAACGUUACAACACGUCAAUCACUAACAUACAGAUUAUCUAAUUCAGUGGUACAGGAAGGAAUAAAAAAAAGAGUUGAUCAAACGUUCAAAAAUUGCACGAAGCAAAUGAAGCAGUGGAGACAAGACAGGCAGAUUAACAGGCGAUUAAUGCGCUCUAUGACGCCUGUUUAAUGGCCCAUGGUCGAAUCGUGUGAUACACGCGAACGAGUGCACGAUUUCCCUCAGAGCUUGAAUUAAAUGGAUAGACAGGAAGAAUCCAUUUGUACGUCCAUUUGUAUCAAUUGCUUGUGCCAACGUUCAAGCGACGGAAACAAGAGCUCCAGGGAAAAAAAUAUCGAGAAGUGUUUGAUACUUAGUGACGUGUUCUUUUCUUUUCUUUCUUAAGUGUUUUCAUCAAUAUUUGAGAAUUUCAUAAAGUGAUUGUCGAUUUUUCGCGUAUACUUGGAACGAGUGAUCCGGUUUCUCGUAAUUCUCAGUUCGAGAAAAACGUGAGCCAGAGUCGGUCAAUCUUUCCGGAAGCUUUUCCAACGAAGGAAAAGGAACGAAACAACUGUAUCGAAUUACGAACAGAAAGAACUCUCAUCGAAGAAUAUAGUAGUGAAAGCAUGUGGUUUUCGCGCGUAAAAGAAUUUAAUCCUCAAGAGACCAAUUUCCCGCGAUAUUAAAACACCAGGGGAUCGAAAUUACAGCCAGUGCUAAGGUAAAACCUUACAAAUGGAUUCGACGAAUCGAUAAUGCACGAUUGUAAAUCCUGGUUCGGAGCAAACCACGUGUCUGAUGAAUAAUACAAUUCCUUCAGUUGCAUUCAAUUCUCGUCUUUUUGGUCACCAAGGGAAAAGUACCGAAUAGAAUCGUAAAAUCCUUAUCGAUUGACACUAUUACGCAUCUUCGCAUCACGACAUCGUGAACGAUAAGGAAAUAGUGAUCGCGACGUUUCUGUUCACGCGAAGAGUGAAUCUUACAUGAAUGUAAUACAGUGUGAUCAUUAUUAAGUGAUUAAUAAAUUGAGCGAGAAGCAAUUGUGAUUAGUUAUGAUUUUAGGCAGUGAUUUGUAUACGAAAAAAAAAAAUAAGUUAGGAAAACAGCAUGAAAGUGAUGUGGGUGUAUUUAUAUUCUGAUUUCGUAUUUUAUCAUUUUUGUGAAUAACUGAAAAAGUGUGUCUGCGACGUUUCAUCGAGACCCUUCUUUCCGAGAGAAGAAGGAUAAACGUACGAAACGGAAGGAAAGAAAGUAACAGUAUGAAGAACCGUCGUGGAAAAUGGCUCUACGCUGUAUUCGCAUUGAUCACGUUCCUUCCUCAGCAGAUCGAAUGCACAGCGAAGAGCGGAGGAUCGGUAGUAGAGCAUCAUCCAUCUUCUUACUGGGAGCAACCCUUUAGUCAGCCUUAUUUCGACAAUACGACAAAAAGGGAAACCACGACGACCGUCGGCCAAACCGCUUUUCUUCACUGCAGAGUGCGCAAUCUUGGUGAUCGUGCUGUUUCAUGGAUCAGGAAACGAGACUUGCAUAUUCUUACCGUAGGAAUCUUAACGUAUACAAAUGAUCAACGUUUCCAAUCAUUACACCGAGAUGGGUCUGACGAAUGGACUUUAAGGAUUAGUUCACCACAAGUUCGAGAUAGCGGAACAUACGAAUGUCAAGUCUCAACUGAAUCGAAAAUCAGUCAGGCUUUUAACUUGAGUGUCGUAGUGUCAAAGGCGAAGAUCAAUGGUAACUCAGAACUAUACAUCAAGAGUGGAAGCGAUAUCAAUCUGACCUGUAUAGUAUUGCAGACUCCUGAACCACCGUCCUUCAUUUAUUGGUAUAAAGAUGAUCACGUGAUAAAUUACAGUCAAAGAGGAGGUAUCAAUGUAGUAACUGAAAAACAAACACGAACGUCGCGUCUCUUGAUAUCCAGGGCGUUACCUGCUGAUUCUGGAAAUUAUACAUGUGCUCCGUCUACAGCCGAGUCAGCCAGUGUUCUAGUCCACGUACUCAAUGGUGGGAGAACAUCCAGCAGCCAUGCAACACGGAAACUCGAGUAAUAGCGGUGCGGCAACGAGAACGCUCGCUUUGCUCCUGUUGCUUCUGCACGCCGGUUCAUUUGCAAGAAGGAAGAUCGGAUAUAAAUGAGUCAGCCAAAAUCUCGAGAAAAGGACUCGACAACAUGUAAAUGGGUGUUUAGUAUGAUACAGUUAGACUCGACGCGAUCCACGGAACACUUAGCGUCAGCGAUAAUCAAGGAUUUGCGCGCCGCUCGUUAUCGUAAUUAACGAGUACACCGAGUUUCUGCCAAGUUGGAUGACUGCCACGUUUCUUCGAUAACGUUCCUUGUUGUUCAUGUGUUGUGAAACGAAAUGAAACGCUCAUUCUUCAAAUUAUUUAAAAACUAUACACAUUUUAGUUUAAGGAGCGCGACAAACAAAAUAGCAAUACAGAGAGUUCUGUGUUCGACGAACAUAUCCAAAAAAAAA
rnacentral:misc_RNA from 1 species